AAACAAUCAGCGACUUACGAAUUGGAACAAGUACGUUUAUUAAAUGAUAUGAUGAAUGGUUCUGCAUUUCUUUAUGAGAGUACAGUAUCAAAUAUCAGUUUCAUAACGGAUGGAGAAAGAUGUUUACUAUGAAUCAAAAAUUCAAUACAGAGGACUUUUAUAUACAUGUAUCAACAAAAACACUACCAGAAUAUGCACAUAUAUACAUUAAGAAAACAGUAAUCAAAUGGAAUGUCCACGACGAGUAAUGUUGAAAGCAAAACUUUUUUGUUUAAAAUAGAAAACAAUAUGACUAGAAUAAUAACAUGAUUAAGGUACACUGUCAGCAUGGUCAGAAGAAAAUUUUUACUGGAGGAUGAAAAUUUUGAUACCUUGAAUCAGCAAUGUAUAUGAAAAUGAAAAUAAGAUAUAUUCAUGUACAGAAUGGUAAACAUGUGGUUCAAUUGUUUAUUAGCAGACAUUUUUGUUGAACUUAUGCAGGAUUGAACAAAUGAAACUUAAGCUGACUAUGGGCUCAAUGUGUAGUAAAAAGAGGAUUUUGAAAUAUGCAAGAUUCAUCAACGUUAAAAUGUGCAAAAGUGAAAUGUCACCAUAUUUAGUAAA